CCUAUCAACUUUCGAUGGUAAGGUAUUGGCUUACCAUGGUUACAACGGGUAACGGAGAAUUAGGGUUCGAUUCCG
rfam:Trichoplax adhaerens TRIADscaffold_40 genomic scaffold, whole genome shotgun sequence.